UAUGUUGGCAAACAAGAACUAUUUGCUGUUUCUUGAGAUACAAGUUUUUUAUAGAUGGCGUAUUUAGCCAUUGGAGUACCUAAAGCAUUUGAUGGUUCGAAAGAGCAGAAUGAUGAUUCGGUUAUACAUAAAAAGGGAGAAGUAUCGGGCAUCAAAUUUAUUACCCGAUAUGAAUGUUUUAUCUUCUUCAAUAUUUAUUUAAAAUUUCAAAGUCAGCAAUCAGGGAUAGUUCCAGAAGUUAAUAAUUAAGAGACUAUUCAGGAUUUGAAGCAACGCAAUUUUGAUGCCACUUCUUCUUAAAGUGCAGAUUCCUGCGUUCUGUAAUAUUUGGAAGUCCACUGACGGAUAUUUCUUAGCCACGAAAAUUUUUUUCUAGCUAUUCCUCUUUUUCCUCCCUCAAUUUUUAACUGGAGAAUGAGGCGUUGGAAAUGGUAUCUUUCAAGACACCUUCAACAGUCGCCGCAAGAUUUAUAUUUCAAAGACUACAAUUUUAUUGAUGUUUGAUAUUUUCAGCGUUCAUGUCUCAACCCCAUAUAGGAAAACGGACAAGACGUAGCACUUUACCAUCCUAUAUCUGAGGCUGAAAAAGGUUCUUGUCCGUGAGAAAUUUUCAAAGUCUUAGAAAAGUUGUUGUAGCUUGUUGAAAUUCCAAUCCUCAUUGACCAUCCAUACCAAGUAUCUUAAUUGUUUGUCCUGUUCGAUGAUCUCUCCAUCAAUAUCUAUUCAAGUGUAUGGAGUAUCAUUCCUACUAACCACCAUAAGUUUGGUGCUGCUGAUGUUAAUUUUCAAACCUCGUCUUUGGCUAUCAUAUAGUAGCUAUAUUAUUAAUGCUAUCAUGUAGAUGUUUUGUGCUUUGACACUCUUUUGUAGAUAUUUUCUCCAUACUAUUCUCUCCUUAUUCUUGCUCCUCUGUUUCUGGAAAGUUACCUCCAGCAUUUCUUGAUACUUGCAACUGCAGACAAAAACAAUAUUUAGUGUGCAAUCGUAAAGUUGUUGUGAUUUUAGGUCAUAUUGAACAAAGUUGGGAAUUUGAAUCAUAAGAAUACUAUGAAUGGCAUUGUUGGAGCAGUACAAGAAGAAAUUGAGAACGCUGUGCCAAAUAACAACAAACGUGUUUCUGACUCUUUCUCCUAAUAAUAACAUUUUUAACUUAUCUCGCUCCUAUUCAAAUUUUUUAUUAAUUAAUAAUGGGAGAAAACUACAGGAUGAAAGAGGAGCUGUUGAAGAUAAAUGAAGCUUAUGAUAAUAUUUGUUAUAACAUAGUAAAAAAAUAGAUGAUUUUAAUUAAA